rnacentral:piRNA from 1 species
UCUGUGGGGUCUUGGGUCCCAAAGGCAGC